GAUGAACGCUGGCGGCGUGCCUAAUACAUGCAAGUCGAGCGAACAGAUGAGGAGCUUGCUCCUCUGACGUUAGCGGCGGACGGGUGAGUAACACGUGGAUAACCUACCUAUAAGACUGGGAUAACUUCGGGAAACCGGAGCUAAUACCGGAUAAUAUAUUGAACCGCAUGGUUCAAUAGUGAAAGACGGUUUUGCUGUCACUUAUAGAUGGAUCCGCGCCGCAUUAGCUAGUUGGUAAGGUAACGGCUUACCAAGGCGACAAUGCGUAGCCGACCUGAGAGGGUGAUCGGCCACACUGGAACUGAGACACGGUCCAGACUCCUACGGGAGGCAGCAGUAGGGAAUCUUCCGCAAUGGGCGAAAGCCUGACGGAGCAACGCCGCGUGAGUGAUGAAGGUCUUCGGAUCGUAAAACUCUGUUAUUAGGGAAGAACAAAUGUGUAAGUAACUAUGCACGUCUUGACGGUACCUAAUCAGAAAGCCACGGCUAACUACGUG
rnacentral:rRNA from 1 species